rnacentral:lncRNA from 14 species
GGAAAGUGUCACUGUCAUCAUUUUGUGCUGGUAAAUGUGUUGUCUUGGGUUUUGUCUUUUUUAACAUUUUAGGUCCCGUUCCCCUUUCUAUCCCAAAGGGGUUGGUGGCACAGCCUCUAAUCCUCAGAGUGAGCAUCUUAAGGGCUGGAAGACUGAAAAUCCCUUCCCUGAACCGUGAGGGAAUCCUGCCUUGCUGGGGAGUUGUUCACAGGCAAAGCAGUUUUCACUGUGUCCCUCAAGUGACUUUGGGAAUCAGAUGCAGGAAACAGAAACUGGAAUCGAUGCAACGAGUCAAAGCAAACAGAGACUGAACCAUGGGGUUUCUCUCUAUAAAUGGAAACUGACCUCAAAGAGGGCUGCAGCCAAACCAUCCUUCUGCAGGUGAACUCAAACCAGACUGAAGCUCUGAAGCACAGAGCUCAAUGGCAGACAAGAACAUCCCAAAGGCACCUGAUGAAGGUCAUUUCCAAGUCCUCAGAUGCAAUAAAAACAAAACCAAACACAGUGCUGGAACAAAUGGAGGAGAAGGGAUGAUUUCUCCCUCUGUUCAGGUCAUUGCUUUGGGCAGAACCAGCUCAGGAAUAAGAAAGAACUGAAUCGGGUUCUGAAGGUUCCAUUCACUACUAUGACUGGAUAUCACUCAGUUUUGCAUAGCUCUGCAGGGACAGGAUAGUUCCCUCCUCCUGGCUUUUUCUUCUGAUCCUCAGUUAUGUUUCACAGUGAUACUGGAUUGUAGCAUCAAAAUCUACAUUGCAUUGGAUACCUAAAAACCUGAGUUUAGUCAAAUGAAGCCUAAGACUCGUUCCACAUUUUGCAUGUUCAGAGCUAACCUUUACCUGAGGUCAGCUGCCUCCUCAUAGGAGAAACCUCAACAUCUUUAAACCCACUUUACAUUGACAUGGGGCAGGAAAAUAUUAUUUGUAAGGUUUGGUCCUGAGACAGAUCCUAUGAAACAGAACAAUGUUCCUUGUACGUUUGUCCUUGUAAUUGUCUUUGGAAGUCUGGAGGUGUUUCUGAGAGCUGAGAACUUGUGCUCAACCCACCUUUUGGGGGGGGGCAGGGAUAAAAGUUACUGGUUUUGGUUCAGAA